AGCAGCCGCGGUAAUUCCAGCUCCAAUAGCGUAUAUUAAAGUUGUUGCAGUUAAAAAGCUCGUAGUUGAAUUUCGGGAUCAAUAUGUUUGGUCGUGCCUCGGUACGUACUAGCUUAUUGGUUUCUCCUUUCUGAAGAACCAUGAUGUCAUUCAUUUGGUGUCGUGGGGAAUCAGGACUGUUACUUUGAAAAAAUUAGAGUGUUUAAAGCAGGCUCACGCUUGAAUACAUUAGCAUGGAAUAAUGAAAUAGGACGUUUGAUUCUAUUUUGUUGGUUUCUAGGAUCGACGUAAUGAUUAAUAGGGAUAGUUGGGGGCAUUAGUAUUCAAUUGUCAGAGGUGAAAUUCUUGGAUUUAUUGUAGACUAACUACUGCGAAAGCAUUUGCCAAGGAUGUUUUCAUUAAUCAAGAACGAAAGUUAGGGGAUCGAAGACGAUCAGAUACCGUCGUAGUCUUAACCAUAAACUAUGCCGACUAGGGAUCGGAUGAUGUUAAUUUUUUAAUGACUCAUUUGGCGCCUUAC
rnacentral:rRNA from 1 species